rnacentral:rRNA from 1 species
GAACGCUGGCGGCGUGCCUAAUACAUGCAAGUCGAACGGUCUUUCUAUGGAAGCUUGCUUCCACUGAGAAGAUAGUGGCGAACGGGUGAGUAACACGUGGGUAACCUGCCCAUAAGAGGGGGGAUAACAUCCGGAAACGGGUGCUAAUACCGCAUAGUUUUCUUGAUCGCAUGAUUGAGAAAGGAAAGACGGCCUUUGUGCUGUCGCUUAUGGAUGGACCCGCGGCGUAUUAGUUAGUUGGUGAGGUAACGGCUCACCAAGACGAUGAUACGUAGCCGACCUGAGAGGGUGAUCGGCCACAUUGGGACUGAGACACGGCCCAAACUCCUACGGGAGGCAGCAGUAGGGAAUCUUCCGCAAUGGACGAAAGUCUGACGGAGCAACGCCGCGUGAGUGAAAGAAGGUUUUCGGAUCGUAAAACUCUGUUGUCAGAGAAGAACAAGUUGGAGAGUAACUGCUCCAGCCUUGACGGUAUCUGACCAGAAAGCCACGGCUAACUACGUGCCAGCCGCCGC